rnacentral:lncRNA from 1 species
AAUAUCGCAAGUGAGGUAAUCUUCACACAACCCAUGUAAUACAUAAGGGAAAGAGUUACAUAGUUGACUUACAAUCGCCACUUCACACAAUUACAUGAAUAAAGCAUUACAUCAACCAAAUACAAUCAAGGUCCGACUACGGAACCAAAAUAAAAGAAGAACCCCAAAUGCAACAAAGGUCCCCAAUCGACCCCAACUGGCUCCACUACCGAUUAACUAGAACGAAACAACACAAAGGACAAGAUCUUCAUCGAGCUCCUCUUGAGCUUGGUUGCGUCAUCUGCACGGACUCAUCGGCACCUGCAAGCUGGUUUUGGAAGUAUCUGUGAGCCACAGGGACUCAGCAAUCUCGCACCCUCGCGAUCAAGACUAUUUAAGCUUAUGGGUAAGGUAAAGGUAUGAGGUGGAGCUGCAGCAAGCGACUAGCAUGUAUGGUGGCUAACAUACGCAAAUGAGAGUGAGAAGAGAAGGCAAAGUACGGUCGAUAAAAGUAUGAUAAGAAGUGAUCCUAAAACAACCUACGUCAAGCAUUACCCCAACACCGUGUUCACUUCCCGGAAUCCGCCGGAAAGAGACCAUCACGGUAACACACGCGGUUGAUAUAUUUUAAUUAAGUUAAGGUUCAGGUUAUCUACAACCAAACAUUAACAAAUUCCCAUCUGCCCAUAACCGCGGGCACGGCUUUCGAAAGUUCAAAACCCUACAGGGGUGUCCCAACUUAGCCCAUCACAAGCUCUCACGGUCAACGAAGGAAUAGACCUCCUCCCGAGACAUUCUGAUCAGACUCGGUAUCCCAGUACAACAAGACAUUUCGAGAGGGUAAAACUAAACCAGCAACAACGCCCGAAUGUGCCGACAAUUCCCGAUAGAAGCUGCACAUAUAUCUUUCUCAGGGCACACCGGAUCGUCCAAACUUUCGGUAGGCCAUCCCAGAGUUGCCCCUGGUGGCCACCAGCGGCUGACAAGUUGGACCAACACUCAGAGGAGCACUGGCCCGGGGGGGGGUAAAGUAAUGAUGACCCUCAGGAGCGCGACUCCCAAGGGAAAAGAAAAGGCUAGGUGGCAAAAGGUAAAACCAAUGUUGGGCAUUGCUGGAAGAGCUUUACUUAAGGCGAACUGUCAAGGGGUUCCCAUAAUAGCCCAACCGCGUAAGGAACACAAAAUCCGGGAACAUAACAUCGAUAUGACGGAAACUAGGGCGAAAAGAGUGGAACAGAACACCAGGCAUAAGGCCGAGCCUUUCACCCUUUACGAAGUAUAUAGAUGCAUUAAUUAAAUAAGAUAUAUUGUGUUAUCCCAACAAGUAAACAUGUUCCAACAAGGAACAACAUCUCCAUGUUCCAACAAGUAACAAACUUCAAUCUUCACCUGCAACUAACAACGCUAUAAGAGGGGCUGAGCAAAGCGGUAACAUAGCCAAACAACGGUUUGCUAGGACAAGGUGGGUUAGAGGCUUGGUUCAACAAUAUGGGAGGCAUGAUAAGCAAGUGGUAGGUACCGCAACAUAGGCAUAGCAAAAGAGCGAGUAGCUAAGCAAGCAAAGAUAGAAGUGAUUUCGAGGGUAUGGUCAUCUUGCCUGAGAUCCCGCAAGGAAGAAGAACGAGUCCAUGAAGAAGACAAACGGGCGUAGACGAACGGGUCCUCACAAAUGCGAUGUUACCGGAACCAACCCGAAGAAGCAAACACCGGAAAGAAGCAAACAAUCAUGGUAAACAACCACCACAUAAGCAUGACAUGAUGCGCAAACAAGUAUGAUGCAUGUCCGGUUUAAUGAGGCAUGGCAUGGCAAAGUGCACAAACAGCCCUACAAAUUAAGU